rnacentral:rRNA from 1 species
ACUCCUACGGGAGGCAGCAGUGGGGAAUAUUGGACAAUGGGCGCAAGCCUGAUCCAGCCAUGCCGCGUGAGUGAUGAAGGCCCUAGGGUUGUAAAGCUCUUUCACCGGUGAAGGUAAUGACGGUAACCGGAGAAGAAGCCCCGGCUAACUUCGUGCCAGCAGCCGCGGUAAUACGAAGGGGGCUAGCGUUGUUCGGAUUUACUGGGCGUAAAGCGCACGUAGGCGGACUAUUAAGUCAGGGGUGAAAUCCCGGGGCUCAACCCCGGAACUGCCUUUGAUACUGGUAGUCUUGAGUUCGAGAGAGGUGAGUGGAAUUCCGAGUGUAGAGGUGAAAUUCGUAGAUAUUCGGAGGAACACCAGUGGCGAAGGCGGCUCACUGGCUCGAUACUGACGCUGAGGUGCGAAAGCGUGGGGAGCAAACAGGAUUAGAAACCCCUGUAGUCCCAUG